rnacentral:lncRNA from 1 species
AGCCCCAGGUUACACAUUGAAAACAAUUUAAACAGAGACAGAAGACCACAAGUCCAGCUACUUGAAUAGAUGGAAGAUUUACACUGCAAAGAUAUUGCCAGAAUCAUUUCUUAGCAAUUUCCCCACUCCCGUGUUGGCCAGUACGGAUUACAUGAGAACUGGCCGCCUAUCGCUGGAUACAGAUGCACCAAUGAGGGUUAAAAACUUUCCGAGCGAAAAGUGGAACAGAAAGAAAAGAAUCUCCUAGCAUUUCCCCAAGGGUUCACUCUCCCGCCACACACACUCUCCAAAGGAUCGCUACAGAUCCAACUCUAUGUCAGCUUCUUGGCUUUGCUGUAGAGGGAGUCCACUACUUUACUCCUGUUCUGAAUAGUUUCCAGAGCAGCUUCAUAAGUUUUAUCUACUAGGGGUUCAUCGAAAAUGAUCAGGACACCCUCCCCCUGGUCCAAAAUCCCAUGAAACUUUUUGUCAAGAAUCAUCUGUGAUAAUUUUCUCUCCACGUCGGCCUUGGAGAGUUUGAUGAGGCUAGAUAUGUGUUCAAUCUGGACUCGGGAAAAAGACUCAAUAACCCGGAUCAGAUUCUGUUCCUGUAAGUUAUUGUACAACUUGGCCAAAUGUGUGCUGAUGAUUGGGUCGUCCCGGAGCUCUGCCCUGUAGUCUGUCAGGGCCUUUUCAAAAUCUGCCAGUGAUCUGUUCUUGCUAGCUUGAGCCACACAUUUCAAUGCUUCUGUCUGCCUCCCUGCACACCGAAGUGCAAGCUUUCUGCUCACCAAAGCCUGGACAUCUUCUGGGGUGUUGAGCAUGAUUCUGCACAGCAACAUCUACUUCAGAGAUGUGAUGGCCUUGGGGCUAUCAAUGGAGUCGUAGCCUUCGAAUGCCUCAUAGAAGUAUGAGUAUGCAGUUUUCCAGUCCUUCUCCUCUGCUGCAUGAAUAAUACCUGACUGCAUGUCCAGGGUGGCCUGCAAUUUAGGGGGACAGUAGAUGGCAUUUGCUGUGGUUCGAGCAGAGGUUAAGGCAGCUCGGGCUUUCAGCAGAUUACUCAGAGCAUGGUAAGUUUUGCUUUCUAAAAGCUGUACUUCCACCAAAAGGGCUUUAUCAUCCAUCUUUUUCAACUCCCGAAGCAGCUGAGAACCCAAAUGCAAUGCUUCCUGGUACCUCUUGGUAUCAAAAUACAAAGACACCAGCCUUGCCUCCAAUGCUUGGCGUAAGAAAGUUCUUUUCUCUGAUUUGGCCCAUUCGAUGCACUCUAAACAUAGCUCGACCUCCUGCCCUGUAGCUGCUUCCAUAUCUAGAAACAGAUCAAGAAGAGACCGGACCAGACGAGCUGCUUUAGUUUACUGAUGGAAUUCAAGAAAGGUCGUACAUACUUCAGGAGUCCUCCAAGCUCAUCAGCUUGUCCAGUCUUCGCCAGGAGAGAACCCAGUUCAAGGAUGCUCUGCUCUUUGACCUGGACUGCCUCCUCAUCAUUUUCUUGAUUGUCAUGUUUCACGAUGGAGUGGAGGAUGUCGAUGGAGGCCUCCCGGUCGGUGCUAAGUAGAGACUGGACUCUCUGGAACUCCACCACCGCUGCGGCCGCCAUCUUACCACUCUCACACCGUCCCCGGCUGCCUCACACUGUCCCCAGCCGCCCUUUCUUUUUAUAAAUGACAAACAUACAGAUGAGGGAAAUGCAAACUUUCAUAAUAGCCUCAAAAAUACCUUGCAGUAAUGCUAACCAGGCAAGUCAGAGACUUAGAUAAUAAAAACUUUAAGGCAUUGAAGAGAGAAAUUGAAAUCACCAGAAGAUGGGAAGAUGUCCCGUGCUCACAGAUUAGUAGUAAAUUAAUAUUGCAAAAAAAACCAUAAUACCCAAAGCAUUCUAAAGAUUCAAUGCAAUCUCCAUUAAAAUGUCAACACAGUAUUUACAUAAAUUUAAAAAAGCAAUCUUCAACUUUAUAAGGGAACACUGAUAGCUAAACAUACUGAAUAAUAAACAAACACCCAGAUUUUUCAUUGUAUUACAGUGCUAUCAUAAUUAAAAUGACAUCAUAUUGGCAUAAAACCAGCCAUGUUGAUCAAUGGAAUGGAACAGGAAGACAUGGCCAUAACUCACACACCUACAAACAGCUGAUUUUUUUUUUAUAAAGUAGAAAACAGGUACACACUGGAGAAAAGACAGCACCUUCAACAAAUGGUGCUGGUCAGACUAGACAGAUGCAUGUAGAAGAAUCAAAGCAACCCUGCAUGUGGAGGUUUGAUCUGUUGCUAUGUACUGUAAUGCUAAAUUCUAUACACAAAAGUCUAGUUGCCUGCAAAUGAAUUCUUGGAUUUACCAGCUUUUGUUGUGCAAACCUUGUUCCUUAAUUUAAAACUAUUGAUUAAAUAAAAAUGGCUAGAGCUAAUUGCUGGAGGGAUUAGAGGUAGGUGGGAUUUGAGUUACCUGGUUUGGGGUUGGAGAGGAAGGAGAAAGGACAGACAGGGCAGCGUGAGGAGGAAGCCACCAUCAGAGGAGAUGGACCAUGAACACAUGGCCAGAAGCAGCAGCAAGCAUAGGGGGUACACUGCUGGGGGAAGUAGCCAGGCCAGCAGUUAGAUUAAGGGUUACCUCCAAGUAGUUGUCAAAGCCAAAUAAAUUAAGAUUGGUCUGAGUCUUAUUUAUUUGUAAGCUAGUUGGGGAUAAGUUUAAUUUGGUUCAAUUAUAACUGCACAAAACUAACUCCAGAUAGAUCAAGGACCCCAACAUAAGACUGGAUACCUUGAUUCUGAUAGAAGAGAAAGAAAAAUAAUCCACAGGAAAGAACUUUCUGAACUGGACCCUGAUAGCAGGCAUUGAGACCAACAAUUAAUAAAUGGGAUCUCGUGAAGCUAAAAAGUUUCUGUCCAACAAAGGACAUCAUCAUGUGAGCAAAGCAGUAGUCUAUAGAAUGGGAAAAUCUGUAUUACCUAUUCAUCUGACAGACAGAGAUUAUUAUACAAAGAACUCAAAAAACUGAAGUAACCCCAAUUCUCAAUGAUGUAUAAAACUAGACAGAUAGUUCUCAAGAUGGAAAAUAGCUGAGAAACACUUAAAGAUAUGUUCAACAUCUUUACCCAUCCAGGAGAUGCAAAUUAAGAUGAUUUUGAGAUUUUUAUCUUAUCCCAGUAGUCAGGAUGGUCAAGGCCAAGAGCAUAUGACAGCAGAUUCUGGUGAGGACGAAGGGAAGGACACUUACCCACCGCUGGUGGAAGCACACCCAUGUAUGGCUACAAUGGAAAUCAGUGUGGCAGUUCCUCUGGAAGCUGGAAAUAGAUCUACCUCAGGAUCCAGCUGUACCAUUCUUGGACACAUACCCAACUGACUCUCCAUCUUGCUACAGACACUUGCUCAUUCAUGUUCGUUAAUGCCCUAUUCAUAAUAGCUGGAAACUAGAAACAGCCUGGAUGUAUGGGUGAUGAAAAUGCGGUACAUCUACACAAUGAAAAAAUGAAAUUAUGAACGGAGCUAGAAACAAUCAUUCUGAGUGAGCAUUGCUCAGUUGUCUGAUGACCCAUGGCCUUUGAUCAUAUGCCUAAGAACUGGAGUCUUGCACCUCUGGAUGAAGUCUUUUGAUUAUGAGAACAAAAAACAAGUAAUGAGUGAAUUGCCUCCAAAUAUUAGUUUCUACUUUUUAAAAAUUCUGAUGGGGUGGAGGGAGCAAGUGCCCCUGUGCACCUGUGGACAUCAGCCCCUGUGCACCUGUGGACAUCAGCCCCUGUGCACCUGUGGACAUCAGCCCCUGUGCACCUGUGCACAUCAGCCCCUGUGCACCUGUGGACAUCAGCCCUGUGCACCUGUGGAUAUCAGCCCCUGUGUAGCUGUGGACAUCAGCCCUGUGCACCUGUGGACAUCAGCCCCUGUGCACCUGUGGACAUCAGCCCCUGUGCACCUGUGCACAUCAGCCCCUGUGCACCUGUGGACAUCAGCCCCUGUGUACCUUAGACAUCAUCAGCCCCAGUGGACCUGUGGACAUCAGCCCCUGUGUACCUGUGGACAUCAGAUAACCACUGGCAGCAGCCAGUUCUCCCCUUCUGCUAUGUGGUUCCCAAGGACAGAACUCAAGUCAUCAAGCUUGGUGGGAAAAUGCCUUUACCAGUGAGCCAUCUACCAACCCAUAAAUGUUGGUUUUGGCGGAUUUUUUUC